UACAGAGGUCUCAAGCGUUGUUCGGAUUCAUUGGGCGUAAAGGGUGCGUAGGUGGCGCCGUAAGUCAGGUGUGAAAUCUCGGGGCUUAACCUCGAAACUGCACUUGAUACUGCGGUGCUCGAGUACUGGAGAGGAGAUUGGAAUUUACGGUGUAGCAGUGAAAUGCGUAGAUAUCGUAAGGAAGACCAGUGGCGAAGGCGAAUCUCUGGACAGUUACUGACACUGAGGCACGAAGGCCAGGGGAGCAAACGGG
rnacentral:rRNA from 1 species